rnacentral:rRNA from 1 species
AGUGAACGCUGGCGGUAGGCCUAACACAUGCAAGUCGAACGGCAGCACAGGAGAGCUUGCUCUCUGGGUGGCGAGUGGCGGACGGGUGAGGAAUACAUCGGAAUCUACCUUUUCGUGGGGGAUAACGUAGGGAAACUUACGCUAAUACCGCAUACGACCUUCGGGUGAAAGCAGGGGACCUUCGGGCCUUGCGCGGAUAGAUGAGCCGAUGUCGGAUUAGCUAGUUGGCGAGGUAAAGGCCCACCAAGGCGACGAUCCGUAGCUGGUCUGAGAGGAUGAUCAGCCACACUGGAACUGAGACACGGUCCAGACUCCUACGGGAGGCAGCAGUGGGGAAUAUUGGACAAUGGGCGCAAGCCUGAUCCAGCCAUACCGCGUGGGUGAAGAAGGCCUUCGGGUUGUAAAGCCCUUUUGUUGGGAAAGAAAAGCAGUCGGUUAAUACCCGGUUGUUCUGACGGUACCCAAAGAAUAAGCACCGGCUAACUUCGUG